AAGGGGAUGAUGAGAGUUGGUCCUGCAGUGAUGGAAAGGUUUUAGAAGUUCUCCUUGAGAUGGAAAGAGAGAGAGAAAGGAGAGACGAGAUCUACUGGGACCUUCAGUUGCUCAACACAGGAAAACUCAGAGACCUGUACCACACAGACACACACACCACAGACACACAUACAAGAGACACGCACACCAUACACCUCAACCAAGACCUGUACCACACCACCAGUCAAGCGCAGUACAACAGAGACACACAUAACAUACCCACAGAGAAAGAAAAGGGAAAGGAGAGAAAAGAGGGAGGAGUGUGUGGGUGGAGACUGAGGAGAGCAGUUAGACAGCGCUGGGCCAGACUGGUGCAGGAGGGUGUGUGUGGAGCCCUGCCGUCUUUAAGUGGUGGUCGGGGGUCAGGGGUGAGAAGUCAGGCAUUGGGGUGUGUCUCUCUGUCAGAGCUACUCCUACUGGUAGA